AUUGAACGCUGGCGGCAUGGCUAAAGCAUGCAAGUCGUACGAGAACCGCGCAAGCGGGGACAGUGGCGGAAGGGCGAGUAAUGCGCUCCUACGUGCCCCAAGGUGGGGGAUAGGUCGGGGAAACUCGGCGUAAUACCCCAUGUGCUCUUCGGAGGAAAGCUUUUGCGCCUCGGGAGCCGGGAGCGUCCUAUCAGGUAGUUGGAGGGGUAACGGCCCACCAAGCCAAUGACGGGUAGCGGGUGUGGAGAGCACGACCCGCCGCAUCGGGACUGAGACACUGCCCGGACUCCUACGGGAGGCUGCAGCGACGAAUAUUCCGCAAUGCACGAAAGUGUGACGGAGCAAUGCCGCGUGCAGGAUGAAG
rnacentral:rRNA from 1 species